ACAUUGAUGGUUCAGUGGUAGAAUUCUUGCCUUCUAGGCAAGAGACCUGGGUUUGAUUCCCAGCCAAUGCA
rfam:Loxodonta africana unplaced genomic scaffold scaffold_67, whole genome shotgun sequence.